rnacentral:lncRNA from 1 species
UUCCUUUUCUUGCACUUUUGUUCGGUUCUUUUCAAUUUCUUACUAUUUUAAUUCAGUUCAGUAGAUCCUUUUCAUGUUUUGUUCGGUUCAAUUGCUUUCUUUAGAGUUUCAAUCGGUUCAUUUACUUUCUUGUUCAAUUUAAUCGGUUCAAUUGGCAAGAAAUGGGUCUUCCAUGUGAGUUUGGUGUUUGGUGCAAGUUUUG